rnacentral:tRNA from 1 species
GGGGCAAUAGCUCAGUCGGUUAGAGCAGCGGACUCAUAACCCGCGGGUCGUUGGUUCAAGUCCAUCUUGCCCCA